rnacentral:rRNA from 1 species
GACGAACGCUGGCGGCGUGCUUAACACAUGCAAGUCGAACGGAAAGGCCCCUCUGGGGGUACUCGCGUGGCGGACGAGCGAGUAACAAGCGAGUAACUUACCCUUGCCUGCCGGAUGACUUACGGCAAGUGGGGCGAAUACAGGAUAGGAAUCAUCGCCUCAUGGAGGGGGUGGGAAAGAUUCGGUGGUUGUGGAUGGACUCGCGGCUUAUCAGCUUGUUGGUGGGGUAGUGGCUUACCAAGGCUUUGACGGGUAGCCGGCCUGAGAGGGCGACCGGCCACAUUGGGACUGAGAUACGGCCCAGACUCCUACGGGAGGCAGCAGUGGGGAAUAUUGCACAAUGGGCGGAAGCCUGAUGCAGCAACGCCGCGUGCGGGAUGACGGCCUUCGGGUUGUAAACCGCUUUCGGCUGGGGCGAAGCUUGUGUGGAGGGAACCGGUAGAAGAAGAACCGCCAAACUACGG